UACGGGGGGUGCUAACGUUGUCCGGAAUUACUGGGCGUAAAGAGCAUGUAGGCGGUUCUGUGCGUCGGCGAUGAAAUACCACCGCUUAACGGUGGGAACGUUGCCGAUACGACAGAACUAGAGGAAGACAGGGGUACGCGGAACUUUCGGUGUAGGAGUGAAAUCCGUAGAUAUCGAAAGGAACACCAAUGGCGAAGGCAGCGUACUGGGUCUUUUCUGACGCUGAGAUGCGAAAGCGUGGGGAGCAAAC
rnacentral:rRNA from 1 species